rnacentral:rRNA from 1 species
AUUGAACGCUGGCGGCAGGCCUAACACAUGCAAGUCGAGCGAGCGGCGGACGGGUGAGUAAUGUCUGGGAAACUGCCUGAUGGAGGGGGAUAACUACUGGAAACGGUAGCUAAUACCGCAUACCAUCAGAUGUGCCCAGAUGGGAUUAGCUAGUAGGUGGGGUAACGGCUCACCUAGGCGACGAUGCCUAGCUGGUCUGAGAGGGUAACCAGCCACACUGGAACUGAUACACGGUCCAGAUUCCUACGGGAGGCAGCGGUGGGGAAUAUUGCACAAUGGGCGCAAGCCUGAUGCAGCAAUGCCGCGUGAGUGAAGAAGGCCUUCGGGUUGUAAAGCACUUUCAGCGGGGAGGCGUUAACCGCAGAAGAAGCACCGGCUAACUCCGUGCCAGCAGCCGCGGUAAUAC